rnacentral:rRNA from 1 species
UACGGAAGGCAGCAGUGGGGAAUAUUGCACAAUGGGCGAAAGCCUGAUGCAGCUAUGCCGCGUGUAUGAAGAAGGCCUUAGGGUUGUAAAGUACUUUCAUCGGGGAGGAAAAACAAACUAAUAAUUUUAUUUCUUGACGUUACCCGAAAAAGAAGCACCGGCUAACUCCGUGCCAGCAGCCGCGGUAAUACGGAGGGUGCUAGCGUUAAUCAGAAUUACUGGGCGUAAAGAGCACGUAGGUGGUUUUUUUAAGUCAGAUGUGAAAUCCCUGGGCUUAACCUAGGAACUGCAUUUUGAAACUGAAAUACUAGAGUAUCGUAGAGGGAGGUAGAAUUCUAGGUGUAGCGGUGAAAUGCGUAGAUAUCUGGAGGAAUACCUGUGGCGAAAGCGGCCUCCUAAACGAAUACUGACACUGAGGUGCGAAAGCGUGGGGAGCAAACAGGGAUUAGAUACC